rnacentral:lncRNA from 1 species
AAUACAUAAAUUUUAAUUUUAUUAAAAUGUCAAAUUAUAGAUUUAAAAUUAUCCAAUAAUCCUAAAUGCUCAGAAAAUAAUUUAUUUUGACUAUCAAAAUGUUUUCCUCCUCUUCCCCACAAUAUAAGGUAUGCCUAGGCCUCUUCUUCCUUUGAAAGAGAUCAGCUUUCCAUAAAAGGAAAGAAAGCUGUUCUUGGGACUUGCUUGGCCCUCCUGGCUUCCCUAAAACAGCUUUCUGGUGACCAACAGGUAUAAAAGUCCCAGCCUGUAAAUCACUGUGCUCUUUACCAUAUCCUGCCCUGAUGAUCAGAUGGUGGGUUUCCACAUGGAGAUGAGGGGAACCAAGUCCAGAGAGAAUCUAAGUUCAUUGUAUCCUUGUUGCAUAUCUUUGCUGUGUUAGGGCAAAGUAGACCUUUUGUUGAUUGUCCAGUGACUCACUUUGUUGCAACAUCUAAUUUGAACUAGAAGUGCUAGUUCUAGAACUUCCUCAGACAACAGAGAUGGGCUAAAAGAAACACUGCACAAUGACUUAAGAUGUUUUGAAAAUACAGUCUUCAUGAGUUUGUGUAGUCAUUAGAAGCUGGACUUUAUCUCAUGAAUAUUUUCAAAGACAUUUUUCUUAAAAAAUGAAAAAAAUAUAAACCAUAUAGAUACAUUUAUAAUCUUGGAAUGUCUUUAGCUCCUGAGGAAAGAUGCUACAGCUGACCCUGUAUUCUUCCUGAUCCUGCCUUCGGAUAUAUGCCUUACAGUUUGACUCACGUACUUGUUCCAGUGAAACUUCCCAGGAUGGACCUGGCCUAAAUCACAAGUAUGUGGAGACCAGGGAGACAGAGAAGGGGCAGUCACACAGAAAAGAGAGAGAGAGAGAACUGAUACCAAGGAAGAAGAGACUAACCAAAAGAGUUGGAUGUCAAUAAUGUUUAGAGCUUCAGAGAAGUAACAAGAGGAUGAAGACAGAGACAAGAGAGGAUGAUGGUGAUACGAUGAUGAUGAGGAGGAGGAGGAGGAGGAGGAGUAUAGGGCAAGAUCCUGGAAGAAAAGGGGGGCAACAAAGUUCCAACCUUUGGGGUCCUGAUCAAAUGCAGUCAACAGUCUUCUAAGUCUACCCUCCUUGUACUCUUACAAUCCAGUGACAUUGACCUCCUGGCUAUUCCUCAAAUGAGAAGAAGGGAAACAAACUGCUAUGAUCCUGCCAUCAUGCUGAAGUGCUUUACAAAUAUCUUAUUUGAUCCUCUCAACAACCUUGGGAGGUAGGUGCUAUUGUUAUCCCCAUUUUACAGUUGGGAAAAU